AAAACAGGUCAUUAGGUGUAGGAAAAACCAUAAGCAAAUAGGUCAACUGUGAUGCCAAGUUCCAUGUGUAAAUAGCCCCUCCGCUUCCCUUCAUUGAAUGGUGCGCAGUUGUUUCAUAAUUCCCAAUGCGUUCAAAAGAAAGCAGACUGAAAAGCCCUGUAAGGAUUGACCAUGAUUCCACAGCCAAAGUUCUAUGGUUUUCAUUCUUUGCCGAAGGACCGGAGAAUCCGGAAUGGCUUCGUCGGUCCCAAUGUUUGAACCAGUAAGGCAAAGUUGGUAUGCAACGACCGGGGGUGGUGAGUAUAACCAGAGUUACUGGAAUAUAAUGACCUCUGGUAUAAUUGACCUAAUAACAUUAGAUAACGUUAUUGCUGGUUAUGUAGGUAGACAUAUUUUGAUAAAGCAAGGCAAGCUAGCUAACGUUUUAGCUAACUUUAGCAUUACAAUUGAGGUCAUAGCGCAUACAAAUUUGUGUAUUGUCUAGAUACUGCUGGUUAUGUCACGUUAUCAUUUGAUAAUGCUAGUGAGGCAGGCUAGCUAGCUAGCUAAUGUUAGCCUACAAGUUGGAUUUGCAAGUUAUUUCGUUGCUCAUGCAAGUGUAUUCUGUAUGGUCUAGGCCAAAACUAAAUAAUGGAUUCAGUUAUGGUAGUAGCGAACUCAUGUCUGAGUCUAAAUAAUACAGUAAACUAGGAUCAACAACCCGUAGCGGCGUCACCGGCCGGAAUCUAAUCCAAUCUGGAGUACAGGAAACUGCGGCUAAUAAUAAUAGUCGGAAUGGAGCAAAUGGGAUGGUAUCAAACACCUGGAAACCAUGUUUUUGGAUGUAUUUGAUACCAUUCCACUUACUUCGCUCCUGUCAUUAUCAUGAGCCCGUUCUCCCCAAUUGAGGAGCCACCAACCUUCUGUGAUCUGGAGCUACAAUCAGUCUACAUCUGUAAAGCAUAGAAUUAGGGGUUUCCACUAGUUACCACAGCCUCAAAGUCUUACAUGGCCUCUAUUGUAAAAAUUCAUGAAAACAAAAAUAUACUUUUUAAGGUUAGCAGUGUGGUUAAGGUUAGAUUUAAAAUCACAUUUUAAGAAGAUAUAUUUUAGAAAUAGGUGUGGUUUAUGGGGCGGCAGGUAGCCUAGUGGUUGGAGCGUUGGGCCAGUAACCCGAAAGGUUGCUGGAUUGAAUCCCUGAGCUGACAAGGUACAAAUCUGCUUCUGCCCCUGAACAAGGCAGUUAACCCACUGUUCCCUGGUAGACCUUCAUUGUAAAUAAGAAUUUGUUCUUAACUGACUUGCCUAGUUAAAUAUAGGUACAAAAAAAAUCACUUUGUUGCUGUCGUAACUAGUGACGACCUAGAAUUAGCUUGACUCAAAUUACUGCCCUGAUGACACAGAUGGCUACAUCAACAAUGUGUGUUAUGUGAAAAGUUGUAUUGAAAAAACACCUGGUUUGAUAAUCUAGUAGGUUAAUUACCCAGCUAAGCAGAUACAAGUAAUAUAGUCAUUUUGGUUGUGAAGUGCAUUGUUGAAAAGCUUUGUCCUUUCUUUUCAACAAAAUGCCAUUUACUACUUGGCUGUCUAUUGUAUCACCCUGUCACAGCCCCUCCCAGUCAACACCACCUCAUAAUAUGAGGAAGUGCAUUGUUUAUAAGGAUUGCCUGCUGCAGUUGUUUGGGAGAUAUUCAGUUUGCAGCUGAACAUGCAACAAGGGGACCCUCAGCAUCACGCAGACAUGCCCUCACUUUGAGCAUUGCUAUAAAUGGAACAGGAAGGACACUUGAAUCAGGUUGGUGAUGUUUGACCUGGUCAUAGUUUGUCCCAAUUCACCUUCUGAUCGCUAUGUUUACCAUUCUCACUUCACAUAUCAUGAGAACGGAAGUGAAAUAGAAAGGUGAAUGCAGCAAUCGGGUUGGUUCCACCAUGUUAAUCAUAACCACCAUUGAUAACGUAAGCAGUGCACUGUGUGUGUGUGUGUGUGUGUGUGUGUGUGUGUGUGUGUGUGUGUGUUUGUGUGUGACAAACCAGUAUCUUUGAUGAGGGGCCAGGAGUUACUCUGCCAUGCCCAUCAAGGGGGCACUGGCAAAGUCCUUACCUCCAGCCUCACCUCCUGCCUGCUCACCAACGGUCGUUGAUGGGGAGACCAGAAUUAGAUACAUCUAUGGAGACAGAUCUUCAAGACUUGCAAGAUGAUGUGAUGAAGUUCAGACCGACAGACAGGCUUGAUAUUGAUGUCUCUGGAUGGAGAGAGACCUGGCAUGCAACACAUCCACAAUAUGGGACUGAAGGGGAUUACUAAAAAUACAGUACAGCAGAAAUGUCCAGCAUUUGCAACACCCUUUUCGUUAUGUGUCACUGAUGAACUUUUCCUCAACUCUGCCUAUUUCUACAGAUGGAGAAAACUACAGAUGCUUUUGCCAAAUGCCAGACCUGUUCAAACAUCAACAUAGUACCUGUUUGUGUGUCAGAUAUUACCCAUCCUAACUGCCAUUGGUAAUAGAACAGUGACUAUGUGUGUAUGUGUUCUCAGAAAAAUAAAAAGAGCCAGCACAGA